CACACACACACACACACACACAGAGAGAGAGAGAGACAGAGAGACAGAGAGACAGAGAGACAGAGAGAUAGAGGGAGAGGGAGGGAGAGAGAGAGGGAGAGAGAGAGAGAGAGAGACAGAGACAGAGAGACAGAGAGACAGAGAGAUAGAGGGAGAGGGAGGGAGAGAGAGAGGGAGAGAGAGAGAGACAGAGACAGAGAGACAGAGAGACAGAGAGACAGAGAGACAGAGAGAUAGAGGGAGAGGGAGGGAGAGAGAGAGGGAGAGAGAGAGGAAGGGAAGGAAGGAGAGAGAGAGAGCAGAGGAGGAGAGAGGAGAGAAGAGGAGAGGAGAGCAGAGGAGGAGAGGAGAGGAGAGGAGAGAAGAGAGGAGAGCAGAGGAGGAGAGAAGAGAAGAGAAGAGAAGAGAAGAGAAGAGAAGAGAAGAGAAGAGAAGAGAAGAGAAGAGAAGAGAAGAGAAGAGAAGAGAAGAGAAGAGAAGAAGAGCAGCAGCUUGGACCCACAGUUUGACUUCCGAGUUGUUUGUUUUCCCAGCUCCGAAACAGGCAGACACGAGUACUCAGCAGAAAUGACCAAAGACCAGAAAAGACUCUGCUUCCUCCUCGUGGUUUGAGUCAUUCACAAUAGGGUGGAGGGUAGGAAUACUCAGUGACGCUCCUCCUCAGUGAGGGAUGGGGUUUGUGGGGGAGGAGCAGCCGAGGCUGCUCGCCUCCCCAGCUAGGGAACUCAACCCUCACUGUUUGCAGCCUUAAAGUCAUGAAGAGCACGGAUGUGUCAGAAAUAAAUUUUAGGCUGGGUCUGGUGGCACGCACCUUUAGAUAGUACAGAAGCAGCUGGAUUCCUGAGCCUGAGGCCUGCCUGGUCUACAAGGUGAGUUCCAGGAAAGGCCAUCCUGUCUCAGUAGUGGGGUUGGGGGUGUAAGUUUGGGGUCACGAAGAAGAUUACCACUCCAAUGGAAGUGUCUAGAUGAGGUAAAAUUUGUUGAUCAAGACAGUGUGUUCUAAAGAGGAAACACACAGAGACGGGAAAUACACUUGGUUCUUACUCUGAUUUAGGUGGUGACUGUGCCUUUUCCCCAUGGUGGGCCAGGGCAGUUACUGCUUCAGGUCAUCAGAUUGUUGGGAUGCAGCUGGAGGCCGUUUGCAUGAACAAAGCGGGGGAAUUAAAACAUUUACAAGAAAGUCUUACACACAGUAGAGAGGAUAAAAAAUUUUUUUAAUUCCUUUUAUAGUAUUUGGUAGAAAAGAUUGAUAUUUAACAUUUCUUACAGAUGGACAAGCAGAUCUCUGGGUCAGAGUCCACAGAUUUAUCAGAAUACGCAUGCGGGAGUCUAAUACAUGGUGUAGAGCAGCAUCCUAUCCACACUUUGAAAAAGAUGGCUCGCUCUGUGCUCACGUGUUAGCAGUUAGUUGGCAUACUGAAGCAGAAAUCACAGAACGGUACUGGCCUUUACCAAUGUCUCAUAGCCAAUGGUUCAAAGACGUAAAUGGACAAAAUCAUAACGGCCUAAAAGAACCUCAGGUGCUAUUAUGUCUCCAAUUAGCCUUAGAGUGAAACGAGUGUUGUCGCUCACCCCUCCCCUGGCAGACAUGUUGAAGCUGGCUCACGUUAAAAGGCUCAGUCAAUAGCUUGACAGGCCACAAGGUCACUAUGGGAAUUCUUUUCCUUUUCGGAGAACCAGUCGUUAAACAUCUACCAGCACACUAUCAGUAAGUUCAUCCCCCAAAAACUAAAACAGUUUUGUAUAGAAAAAAAAAAUUCCUCAUUAUCAAUAAAGCAAAGCCAGACAAACAGAAAAGAGAAAUUGUUAACUGUCACCACAGGAAGAAGUCUGACUUCUUUAAUAUGGUAUGUAUUUUAAACUACAAAUAUAAGUUCAGGAAAACAAUCUAUGAAAAAUAGGCAGAGUAUAUGAACCAAUAUUUGCUAUACAAAGAAAAGUGGAAACAGAACUUGUUCUGAACAUAGGGAAAAUAUUUACCUACAUGUGAGGAAACAGACCAGAACCCCUUGAUCGAAUCUCCAUUUUGGAUCAGCAAGACCACACUAAGUCUAAGUCCAAUCGAAAGACAAGUAGGUAGACGCAUCUAGAAUUACAGGGGACCACACCAAGGAACAGUAACAGACAGUGGUUGCCUGGUUUACUCAUGGCAGCCUUCAUUCCAAUCACCACAGAUCCAGGUCCCCAAACCCAGCAUCAUCUCAAUGGUGGUCCCACCACUCACACAGGAAAUACUGGGAAACCAUUGAAAAGGAGGUUUCUCUGUUUUGAACUCUUUACUAAAGAAGAAAAUCAAAGUGUUCAGCAAAGCAUUCUUGACUGUAAACACACAACACACACACAUACACAUACGUACACACUCUUGGCAGUCUGUUCUAAAACUCAGAAGUAAACUGCAAAAGUAGCCAGUGUAGGACUUACGGCUUUCUUGGCCUUUGCAACUUUGCUUUUGGGACCAAAUAUAUGUCUCCAUAGAAUGAAGAAUGCUUCUAGAACAACUUGGUCAGGCACCACACAGACACAAGGGACCCUGUUCUCUGGCCUCAGCUGUGCUAAAGCCAGAUAAUCCUCCAAAAUAUCCCCAUGCCAACCAACCAUACUUGGUCUCUACACCUAGACUCCCAGGAUAAGACCUUGAGAUUCAAGGGCCUCCUCAGCUUCUCUUCCUGAGUGUCUCGCAUGUACCUAGCCCAAACUCUUCUCUUUUUUUUUUUUUUUUUUUUUUUUUGGUUCUUUUUUUCGGAGCUGGGGAGCUGGAGUAAUCAGAGUGCGCAUUGCUAGAGACAGAUGGAUGUCACAAGCCCUGUGACAUAUUAUUGGGAGGACACAACCCCAUUUCCUGCUAAAGAUUGAGUCCAACCCCAUUACAAUGAUCUCAUAAAGACUCCUGAGAGAGAAAACCACCUGUUCACUUCACAGAAGUCCCCCUAGGAGCUCGACCAGACUGAAGAGACCAAAAAGAUCCAAGAACUGAUGUGAUUGAAAUCUAUAAUUAGACUAAGGAGAAAAAUGCAUAUGCAAAAUUAUUAGAUCAUUAAAAGAAACUUUAAUACAAGUUUAAAGGCACACACACAUAUGCUGAUAUCUUACCCCAUUGCUGUGAUAAAACACUAUGACAAGAGUUUAACUUGACUUACAGUUUCAGAGAGUUAAAGUCCAUGACUGUGGAGUGAAGCAACAGCUGAGAGCUCACAUCUUAGUCACAACCACAAGGCAGAGAGGGAGCUCGGAAUCUUUUGAAACCUAAAAGCCCACCCACCAGAGACAUACCUCCUCCAACAAAGCUACACCUCCUAGUCCUUUCUAAACAGUUCUACCAAAUAGAAAGCAUUGAGAAAAAUUACAAGAUAAGCCACAAUGAUGAGAAUGGUCACUAUGAUAGUCUGAAUGAGAAUGGCUCCGAGAGACUCCUAACUUUGAUUAGGUAGAACUACUUGGAAAGGAUGAGGAGAUGCAGCCUCACUGGAGGAGGUGUAUCACUGGAGGUGGGCUUUGAAGUUUCAAAAGUCCAUGCCAGUUAGCUCUCUCUGCUUCUUAUUUGUGGAUAGAGAUGUAAGCUCCCAGCUACUGCCUCUGCACCAUGCAUGCCUGCCUGCCUGACUGACUGCCUCCCUUCUAUCAUACUUUCUAUCACCAUGGUCAUGGACUCUAAUCCUCUGUAACCAUGAGUCCCAAGCUAAAUGUUUUCUUUUAUAACUUGCCUUGGCUACGGUGUUUUGUCACAGCAACAGAAAACUAAGGUAGCAGCAGUCAAUGACAGAGAAAAAAUAUAAUAAAAAUAUGUUUCCCUGACAAACUGUAAGCAGAUUUUUUUUCUUUUUUUCCUCCAGUGCUGGAACUGAAGUAGGAGCUUGUGCAUACUAGACAAAUAUUCUACCCAACAAUACUUCCAACCCACAAUCUUUUUAAAUUUUAAACUUCAAUGUUCAAGUGCAGUUUUUAUUGGUUGAUUGGUCGGUUAGUUGAUUGGUUGGUUGGUUGACUGGUUGGUUGGUUGGUUGGUUGGUUAGUUGACUGGUUGGUUGGUUGGUUAGUUGACUGGUUGGUUGGUUGGUUGGUUUGGUUGAUUGGUUGGUUGGUUAGUUGACUGGUUGGUUGACUGGUUGGUUGGUUAGUUGACUGGUUGGUUGGUUGGUUAGUUGACUGGUUGGUUGGUUGGUUGGUUUGGUUGAUUGGUUGGUUGGUUAGUUGACUGGUUGGUUGACUGGUUGGUUGAUUGAUUGGUUGGUUGACUGGUUGGUUGAUUGGUUGGUUGGUUUGUUGAAUGAUUGGUUGAUUGGUUGGUUGGUUGAUUGGUUGGUUGACUGGUUGGUUGGUUGGUUUGGUUGAUUGGUUGGUUGACUAGUUGACUAAUUGGUUGGUUGGUUGGUUUGGUUGACUGGUUGAUUGAUUGGUCGGUUGGUUGGUUGAUUGGUUGGUUGGUUGGUUUGGUUGAUUGGUUGGUUUGAGAGAGCUUCUCACUAUACAGCACUGGCUGGCCUGAAACUUGCUAUGUAGACCUAGCUAUCCUGGAACAUACAGAGACCCACCCGCUUCUGCCUCCCAUGUGCUGGACUUAAAAGUGUGUGCCACCAUGCCUGGCAAAGGUGAAGAAAAAAAAAACUCUUUAAAAAUAUUAAGAUAAAUGAGAAGAUAAGCCAUAAUCUGGGAAAGAUACUUGUAGAAAAUUAAUCUGAUGAAAAGAUUUAAUAAAAGGCUAAUAUCUGCCCCAUCUUCAGUCUCAGUAGUUGUGAAACACUGGGUUUGAUUCCCUACCACUGUGCCCUCUAUCCCACCCUAUUCCCUACCCCACCCCACCCCCCCAAAAAAAGAAAAAGAGAAAAGAAAACAGAAGCCUCAAUUAACAAAAUGGACCUAGAUGAAAAUAGGCAAAAAAGGAGCUGGAGAGAGGACUGUGGGUAAGAGCACCAGCUGCUCUUCCAGAAGAUCCAGGUUUAGUCCCCAGCACCCACAUGGCAGCUCACAAUUGUCAGUAAUUCUGUGGGCCCCUGACAUGCUAGUGGUGGUGUUCAUAUACAUAAUAAAAAUAAAUAAAUCUUUUUUUAAAAAGUAGACAAAAGACCUGACACUUUCUUGAAGAAAGGAGGAAGUAUGGGCACAUAAGAAGGUCUUAUAAGGAAGAAAUAGCUCAGCAAUUAAAACUUCCUGUUUUUGCAAAGGAUCUGGAUUUAAUUCACAGCUUCGCAUCAACCACAUGGCAGCUCACAUCUUUGUUUGGUUUCCCUUGGUUUAGGUUUUUGAGACCGGUGUUGCCUUAGCUGUCCUUGAGAGCCACCUGCCUCUGCCUUCUGAACGCUGGGAUUAAAGGUAUAAGCCACCACCAACUGGCUUGACAACCAUCUUUUAACUCCAGCUCAGGGUAUCUGAUGUCUUCUUCUGACACUGCAACACCAGGCAUGGAUGUGUUGUGGAUACAUACGUGUAGGCAAAAUGCUCAUACUCCCUAAAUAUAAGAACCAAUGUUUUUCUUUUUUUUUUUUUAGACCAGGCUGACCUCCAACUCAGAGGAUCUGCCUGUCUCUGCCUCACUGAGAUUAAAGGCGUGUGCCACUACCAUCAAGCCCAAGUCUUCUUUUAAAAAGGAGUUCUGUGUCAUAUGCCAUCGUGCAACUGCAAGUUAAAACAACCGGGAAGGGUGGUGAGAUGGCUCAGCUUGUAAAAGCGCUUGUUGUUGUUGUCAAGCCUGACAACCUGAGUUCUAUUUCUGGAACCCAUACAAAAGGUGGAGAGAACUAAUUCCACAAAGCUGUCCUCUGACCUUCACAUGCACACAGCACACGCACCCCAGCAUACAUCAUGCACACAGACAUCAUCAUUUUUUAAUAGGGAAGUUGAAUGUGGUGGCACAUGUCUGUAAAGCCACAGGAGAGGCAGGAGAAUUACAAGUUCGAAGCUAUCUUGGGCUACACAGUGAUAAAAAUCUCAAAACAAACAGAGAAACAGUGUGAUGCCACCUACACCUGUCACAAUACCAAAGUCCAAAAUGCUAAGUAGAUGACAUGGAGUGAGGAUGUAGGUCAACAGCCAGCCACACUCAUUGCUGGUAGAAAUACAAAAUGAUACAGCUGUGCACCAGAAGACAGUGACGAUUGCUUAAAGAAAGUUUCUGCAUGAUCCAGCAAAGGUUAUAUAUUCAAGAAAACUGAAAAAACAUGUCCUCCUUCAGCAGGCAAAUGGGAAAGCUACAGUCUAUCCAGCUGUCACUCAGCACCAUCCUCUGUGGACUCUGCUUCAGAACACUGCAAGCUUGAGACCCAGACCAUAACUGGACUCAGUGGGCAGAUGUGUCUGAAGGACCUGAAACAACGCCAGCACUGUCACAAGGGGCAUGGUUUUACAAGUUAAAUUUGGUUUCUUCAUAGUUUUCAUUACAAGAGACAAACACACAAAUUAUAAAAGUGUUUUUAUUUUAAAUCAAAGUACCAAGCAGAUACUUGCUAAACAACAUACAAAGUAGAACUCAAAGAACUCAAACUUGCCCUUUUGCGUGCCUCCUGGGCAGGCAUGGAAAGGAGCUUGCACCCUCUGCAAAACCAAAUCCUGUCCUAUUUUCUCAGAAAACCAAACUGAAAGCAGCCACAAGCACCCGUGUUUGCAUGUGGAGGGGGAAGACCUUCCUUUCUGGGUUCUGAAUGGCCCAACAAGCAGGGAAGCAAUA